CAAUGAAUUUCAUAUGAGUGCGGGUCCGGCGCAGACAACGUCCACCUCGUCCCCACGCUGAUCAAAGUUCGAAACGACAUAGUGUAGUGAAUUGAUUGUCUCAUCAAUUCUGCAUGGAUGUGCAUGACACAACGAUACUUCCAUUAAUCAAAAUUGUUUACGAACAUCAACAAUGAAAAUAUAUUGCAUCAUUUUUCAAAUCACCCUAGAAAUAAGUAUAUAAGACUGUCCAGGAUAUUUGGUCGUCAGUCGAUUUACAGACUGCUACUGAUUCUACAAGAACCAUGAAAGUCUUCAUUAUCGCAGUACUUGCUCUGGUGGCUUUGGGAACUACCCAGGCAGGUAUCCACUGGAGCGAUUUUCUAGUGUGUAACAGAUGGACCCAAUUUUAUGAUCGUGACAACCCGUCCGGCUAUGGUGAUGAGGAACCAUUGGACAGUCUUCGAACGGCUAGGCCCUAUGAUAAUAUCUGUGCAAGACCAGCUACCUUGGAAUAUGAAACCGUAUCCACAAAAGCGUGUAUCAACACCGGAGAAGUGAUUACAGCAUCACCGUUCACGGGUUUCGCAUGUGUUAAUUCUCGUCAACCCGAUCAAAGGUGUAACGAUUACAAAGUUCGAUACUGCUGUCUAGACGCCCAAGUCACAUGCCCGAACGGAUAUGAAUGGACCUAUUUCUACGACCGUGACAACCCCUCAGGCACAGGUGAUUGGGAAUUAUUGGGACAGCUACGAGAAGAAAAUCCAAAUGAGAUUUGUGAAAAACCAAUCGCCAUAGAUGUCCGUCGUCGAAGCAAUGGCCGCGACUUUCGAACAUGCGGCGAGAACGUCACUGUCUCUCCAUCGUACGGAUUUCUCUGCCUAGAUCGAAACCAGUAUGAUCACUAUUGUGAAGAUUACAAAGUCCGAUUCUGUUGUCCUUGUGAUAAAUAAAUAUCUAAAUGGAUAACAUGAAAGAAUAAAAAAUAUUGCACAAUUA